UACCGAAUUCAGACAAACUCCGAAUGCCAAUUAAUUUAACUUGGGAGUCAGAACAUGGGUGAUAAGGUCCGUGUUCGAAAGGGAAACAGCCCAGACCACCAGCUAAGGUCCCAAAAUAUAUGUUAAGUGGAAAAGGAUGUGGCGUUGCCCAGACAACUAGGAUGUUGGCUUAGAAGCAGCCAUCAUUUAAAGAGUGCGUAAUAGCUCACUAGUCGAGUGACACUGCGCCGAAAAUGUACCGGGGCUAAACAUAUUACCGAAGCUGUGGAUUGUCCUUUGGACAAUGGUAGGAGAGCGUUCUAAGGGCGUUGAAGCAUGAUCGUAAGGACAUGUGGAGCGCUUAGAAGUGAGAAUGCCGGUGUGAGUAGCGAAAGACGGGUGAGAAUCCCGUCCACCGAUUGACUAAGGUUUCCAGAGGAAGGCUCGUCCGCUCUGGGUUAGUCGGGUCCUAAGCUGAGGCCGACAGGCGUAGGCGAUGGAUAACAGGUUGAUAUUCCUGUACCACCUAUAAUCGUUUUAAUCGAUGGGGGGACGCAGUAGGAUAGGCGAAGCGUGCGAUUGGAUUGCACGUCUAAGCAGUAAGGCUGAGUAUUAGGCAAAUCCGGUACUCGUUAAGGCUGAGCUGUGAUGGGGAGAAGACAUUGAGUCUUCGAGUCGUUGAUUUCACACUGCCGAGAAAAGCCUCUAGAUAGAAAAUAGGUGCCCGUACCGCAAACCGACACAGGUAGUCAAGAUGAGAAUUCUAAGGUGAGCGAGCGAACUCUCGUUAAGGAACUCGGCAAAAUGACCCCGUAACUUCGGGAGAAGGGGUGCUCUUUAGGGUUAACGCCCAGAAGAGCCGCAGUGAAUAGGCCCAAGCGACUGUUUAUCAAAAACACAGGUCUCUGCUAAACCGUAAGGUGAUGUAUAGGGGCUGACGCCUGCCCGGUGCUGGAAGGUUAAGAGGAGUGGUUAGCUUCUGCGAAGCUACGAAUCGAAGCCCCAGUAAACGGCGGCCGUAACUAUAACGGUCCUAAGGUAGCGAAAUUCCUUGUCGGGUAAGUUCCGACCCGCACGAAAGGCGUAACGAUUUGGGCACUGUCUCAACGAGAGACUCGGUGAAAUCAUAGUACCUGUGAAGAUGCAGGUUACCCGCGACAGGACGGAAAGACCCCGUGGAGCUUUACUGUAGCCUGAUAUUGAAAUUCGGCACAGCUUGUACAGGAUAGGUAGGAGCCUUUGAAACGUGAGCGCUAGCUUACGUGGAGGCGCUGGUGGGAUACUACCCUAGCUGUGUUGGCUUUCUAACCCGCACCACUUAUCGUGGUGGGAGACAGUGUCA
rnacentral:rRNA from 1 species